UGUGGUGGUUUUGAUUCUUUGCAAGCAAGGCUUUGAAGAUCAUGAAAUGGAAGUUAGAAUAAUUUGGAUAUAUCAACAAAGUUGAAAUGGUAAAUUGGCCACCGUAACGAUUACAAAAGCUGACGUUUCGAGCGUUAGCCCUUCGUCAGAGUGAAUAGAGGAAUUGUGGGUUGUGUGUGGAAGUUAGAAUAGUUUGGUACAUUCACUUGACUCCUAUGAAAGGUUAUUCACUGGCACUGAAAUAUCAGUGAUACAAAAUUCAUAUUUCAUUUUUUAGCCAACAUGUUGAGAACAGCAAACACCAUGUUCAUGGUUGAAUUUGGUUCUGUAUGGGCAGCCUAGCAAUCAGUUAACUCUCUUUUGGUUUACACUUUCUUGUAUAGUGGUUGGACUACAUCUUUAGUGCAUUGAUUUUAAUCUUUUUCACAGGUACUCCAAUCGUUCUUUUUGUAAUACUGGCAUUAAUGUUAGUAAUACUGGUGAUUUCAAUUGUAUUUAACAUUUACCUUUGGAGGAAAAAGAGAUUACUGAUGCAGGGAAAAGAAAAGCCUGAAAACGUUUAAGAGCAAUUCUCCAAGAAAGUGAAGCAAAGUUGGAAAUGAAAAUUUUUAACCCUCCUUCAUUUUUUGUGCAGAGGUAGGUUACUUGGGGGGAUGAACAAAAACAGCCAUAUUUGGAACAGCAGGUUUGUCAUUGCCAUGGUAACCACACUUGAUCAUGUGGGCCUGAGGUUUGUGUUUUGAACAAAAAAUUCACUCUCAAGAAGUAAAAAUAAACGAGUCUGGUUCACGGGUGCAUGUGAACCAAUUUACAUGAAAUUCAUACAAAUGGUAGAGGUACUCUUCAAGGUAGGUUUUGUAUCAAUUUAUAUUUCGUUAAAUUCGUUGGCCAAGACCUUAUCAACUCAAUGUAGGUAACAGACAAGAUGAUAAAAGAUACUUUUGAAGCUGAUUUUGUCUAAAGCCUGUUUGAGCCAAAUACUAGAGCCCUCUAAAUUACCAAUUUUGCCAUUUUUUUGCAAUUUGCCCCAGGUGUCUUCAACACCCAUGGCCAGAAUAUAAUUUUCCCCAAGUUGAUUUUAUGAUAUUUAGAAGUGUCAAUAUCUGUGUAAUCUUUGCUGCUAAUUUGGUUUACUUGUGGAAAGAGUACUUUUGGAGAAAUUACAAAUCUGGUUGUGCUUGUUUUUCCUGCUUGUCUAAAUGGCUGACAGGGAACAUAGUUAAAGAUGAGCAUUUUCUUCUUGUUGAUAAAACCCAAAAUAUUUUAAGGGCAAAUUUUAUAAACUGGGAGAGUGGCUCUACCAUCUGUAUGAAUAUAAUUUGAAUUGGUUCUCGUGCAUCCAGGAACCAGACUUGUUUACUUUUACUUUUUGAAAGUGGAACUUUUGCACCAAACAUGGUCCUGAGGCUGACAUCAACUAGUGCAGUUGCCAUGGAAACGAUAAUCUACUGAUCCAAAUAUCGCUGUUUUUGUUUAUCCCCCUAGGUAACCUACCUCCACACUGAAAUUGAAGUGGGGUUAAAAAUUUUCAUUUCCAACCUUUCUUCACUUUCUCGGAGAAUUGCUUUUAAUGAUUUAAUACACAAAAGUGUUGUGUCAUUAUAGAUUUAGAAUACUUUUUAAUGUAUUUUUUUUAAAAAAUGGCACUUAUUACUGCUGGUAAUCAAUCAAUCAAUCAAUUUAUUAAUGUCAAAACGUAGGAUGAGGUUGCCCCGGUCAUCCGAGCCAGAGGCUCACGUAUUAAACGUAUGACAAUAAAAUACGAAGUUAAAAACGAUACAAUUAAGAAGUCAAUUAAAAUACAAACACCUACAUUAGGAUAAUUUAGAAAGCUGCACCCACCCGCGACCGAGUGAAUUAAUGAAAAAA